rnacentral:tRNA from 1 species
GCGUCGGUGGUUCAGUGGUAGAAUGCUCGCCUCCCACGCGGGCUGCCCGGGUCCGAUUCCCGGCCGACGCA